rnacentral:sRNA from 1 species
CCAGCUCUUGCCGCCACCUCGGUCGCGAUGGGGGCGCAGGACCGGCCGCAGUGCCACUUCGACAUCGAGAUCAACCGGGAGCCGGUUGGUCGCAUUAUGUUUCAGCUCUUCUCAGACAUAUGUCCAAAAACAUGCAAAAACUUCCUUUGCUUGUGCUCAGGAGAGAAAGGCCUUGGGAAAACAACUGGGAAGAAGUUAUGUUAUAAAGGUUCUACGUUCCAUCGUGUGGUUAAAAACUUUAUGAUUCAGGGUGGGGACUUCAGUGAAGGUAAUGGAAAAGGUGGAGAAUCAAUUUAUGGUGGAUAUUUUAAAGAGAAUGUGGUCUUUUGCAAAAUGAAAAGAUGAAAACUUUAUUCUCAAACAUGACAGAGCGUUCCUUUUAUCAAUGGCAAAUCGAGGGAAACAUACCAAUGGUUCCCAGUUUUUCAUAAAGAGUGUUACACCGUGCGCUCCACAGGUAAUGUCUCAUUACUCUAAGGCUCUCUCUCUUUCUUUGCCUUUAUCUCUUUAAUUCUGUUGUUAUGUGCAUUGAAACAUUUUAAGAAAAAAAAAACUUUCUGCUUUAUCUGUAUAGCAGCAGUACAUGUAAAACAAGUGCAUUUUAUUUUUCAUGGUUAAUCCUGGGAACUAUAUUUUAACUUCAGUGGCUUGUUUCCACCAAGUUCCUGUACAUCUUCUGGUGGGGGAGUGGGGUUAUUA